rnacentral:lncRNA from 10 species
AGCUAAUGAAAAGGAUUAUACACUAUGACUAAGUGGGAUUUGUUCCUGGAGGGUGUUCAAAAUACAAAAAUCAAACAAUGUAAUAUACCAUAUUAAUAGAAUGAAGAUAAAAAUCUCACAUGUUCAUCUUAACUGAUGGAAAUUAAGCACUCAACAAAAUUAAAUACCCCUUACUGAUAUAAAUUACUCAACAUAAUAAAGCCUACACAGUAGAUAUUACUUGUAUUGGUUCAUGUUUUAUACAGUCAGUGUUUAUUUGUAUACCAAUUUCAUUUUUCACUGUUCCUCUUUCUUCUCAAACUUCCUUUCUGGAUUUAAUUUUUUCUUCCUGGAAUUCGUCCUUGAGAAUUCCUUUAGUAAGGCCCAUUGAUGUUAAACUCUUUCCAAGUUUUGUUUUUAUGAAAAAUAUAUUUUGCUCUCAUUUGUGAAAAACUUACAUGAUUCUAUGUUGAAUUAUUUUGUCUCAGCAUGUAGAAGAUACCAUUCUACUGUCUUCCAUCUUUUGUUAUUGCUAUUGAGAAUUCUGCUGGUCUAACUGCUUCUUUGAAGUUACUCUCUUUGACUGUCUACCUCCUUUAAGUACCUUUUAAACUUUCAGAUUCUGAGUUUUACUAAAUGUAUCCAGAUGGCAUUAAAAAAUUUUUUUCUGCCUUGGGUUUCAUUGCAUUUCAUGAAUCUCCAAAUUCAUGCCCUUCUCUCUCCUUAAAAAUUUACCAAUCCUGAACUAUUGCUCAAAUAAAUAUAAUCUCUAAAUAUUUCCUAUUUCCCAUUUUAUCAAUUCUCUCCUUUUGAAAACUCCAAUUAAUUUUUUUAUUAAACCUUCUCAUUAUAUCUGCCAUGUUUCUAAAACUCCUUUCCUAGAUAAUUUCUUCUUGACUAUAUUCUAGUUCACUACUUCUCUCUUCAUUUGUAUCUAAUGGGCUAUUUAACUGUUACACUGAUUUUUUUUCUGACCAUAAUUUUUAAUUUAGGAAGUCUGGUUGAACAUAAAGGAAGCCUAUACACUGGAAUAAAUAUGAAGCUGCUGCAUAUGAUUCUUAUUCCAAAAUAAGGCCUAAUCAGCAUUAGGCUGAGAUCUUCAUUGGUGGCAUAAGAAGUUCAACCACUUGAGUGGACAUAAUCUCCAAGGUGGAAUGGACCUGGUAAUGGACUGGAUGACAUGCUGGACUUUAGGAAUAUCCACAAAUCUGCAUGAGGUCUCUCCUGCUACAGGCCAUUGGUGUGGAAGAGAAGAUUUUUCUAAUUGAGGUUGAUUAUGGAAUGAAAUUAAAGGGUGGGAAGGAAAGGUUUUCACAUAUGAUCAGAGAACAGAGAUACCACU